rnacentral:lncRNA from 1 species
UUUGACCUAGCCCUUUAAAUCGGAUCGGAUCUGACCACUUUACAUCGCAAUGAUACAAAAAUGGUGUCAUUUGGCAGCUAAAAGCUUAUCUUUAUCAGUGUGCGAAAAGGAAAUGUAUAAACUUAGUAUCUAUAACGCACGAUAACAUGCCGAAAUUGUUUUACCUUUUUUGAUACACCCUGUACUAUACAUGUUGAAGGAUUUUCGAGAUUUCCAUCUACAAAAAACCAUUCAACAUUUAAUAUCGACUGAGAUGCCUGAAUUCCUGAUAUUUACCCAUAUACCUUAAUACACUGGCAUCACGUAGUAUGUAUACUGUAUACAUGAACUUGUGGUUAAAAAUCGACAAGUGGAUUCUGUAGCUCAGUUGGUUAGAGCACUGCACCGGAAUCGCAGGGUCGCAGGUUUGAUUCCUGCCAGAGGGUCUAUAUAGUUGCAUUUUUUGCAGCUGCUCCUGGUUUGGUGUAUAAACGUAUAAAAUUUACACUCGAGAUUUCCAUCU